AGUGAACGCUGGCGGUAGGCCUAACACAUGCAAGUCGAACGGCAGCACAGUAAGAGCUUGCUCUUACGGGUGGCGAGUGGCGGACGGGUGAGGAAUACAUCGGAAUCUACUUUUUCGUGGGGGAUAACGUAGGGAAACUUACGCUAAUACCGCAUACGACCUACGGGUGAAAGCAGGGGAUCUUCGGACCUUGCGCGAUUGAAUGAGCCGAUGUCGGAUUAGCUAGUUGGCGGGGUAAAGGCCCACCAAGGCGACGAUCCGUAGCUGGUCUGAGAGGAUGAUCAGCCACACUGGAACUGAGACACGGUCCAGACUCCUACGGGAGGCAGCAGUGGGGAAUAUUGGACAAUGGGCGCAAGCCUGAUCCAGCCAUACCGCGUGGGUGAAGAAGGCCUUCGGGUUGUAAAGCCCUUUUGUUGGGAAAAAAAGCAGCAGGUUAAUACCCCGCUGUUCUGACGGUACCCAAAGAAUAAGCACCGGCUAACUUCGUG
rnacentral:rRNA from 1 species